rnacentral:rRNA from 1 species
GCAGCAGUAGGGAAUCUUCCACAAUGGGCGCAAGCCUGAUGGAGCAACACCGCGUGAGUGAAGAAGGGUUUCGGCUCGUAAAGCUCUGUUGUUGGAGAAGAACGUGCGUGAGAGCAACUGUUCACGCAGUGACGGUAUCCAACCAGAAAGUCACGGCUAACUACGUGCCAGCAGCCGCGGUAAUACGUAGGUGGCAAGCGUUAUCCGGAUUUAUUGGGCGUAAAGCGAG